CUUGAAGAAGCUUUCUCCAUAUGGCCAAAAAUUUGCCUGCAAAUCAGUCGUGGUGUGGUUGGGAUAAGACGGCUCGCACACAAAACCAAGAAACAGAAAAAGGAACCUUGAACCCACCAUGUUAGAUCUUGUUUACUUUCUGGUAGAUUAGUUCAAUAUUUCUUGCGAAUGGCCGACCUAAUCGCAUGCGUUCAAGAUAUCAUGUCACAAACAACCAAAGUAAUGUAAUAAAUCACGACUUUCAUGGUUGUAAGACUAAUUAAUAUUCAGCAAUAUUUUAAGGAAA